GCAGGCUUUCCUGAGGAAUCGCAGGGAGGAAGAGCUAUGGGGACACCUUGCAGGCAAGAUGUGAAAAUGACUUCAGCAGAGCCUCUACUACUUCAGGACACAACUGGGCUGGGCAUGCUUCCAGUGAGCUUCAUCACAGCUUGGCUCACGAGUGGCCCUGCAACCCUACCCCAGCACCAUAAGCAAGUGUCACUGAGUUCAAUCUAAGGAAGUCCCCAGGCUGCUCCUACUCUGAGAAACUGCACUUCUGAAUUUGACUCUGUGAGCUGAAGGUGACAUAAUGUACAGAUCAACGAUAAGUGAAAGAAAUUCAGCAGUAAGAGAAGCUUGGAGAUAAUAAAAAUGGCAGCAAAUAAUCUGGCCCAAAGGAAACAGCAGGCAUUUCACAGGUAUUUAGAGCAGUGUAUUGUCUUCAGUUCUCCCUCACCGUGAUACA